GCCCACCCAACUGCCGGAACAACCUUAGAGCCACAUUCAACUGAUAACUGAUCCAUGUCCGACAUUCCCAACAAAAUUGUCUCUUUCUUGGCCAAUAGAGUCCAGAAGCAUGGUAGCAAGAUAGAUCGAUGCUUGACAGCUGGCACAAGAACUUGUGGCAGAUUUUGAACAAGCCCGGGAAUUGUCAGUAGAUACAAGCAAAACUGUUCAGCAACAUGAUGCCCUUCCCACGAAGUAGUACCAAUCAUAUCAAAAUUCAUUAAAUGAAAUGGUCGUAAUGCUAAAGUUAUUGCACUCACAGAAGUGACUAAUAAAU
rnacentral:misc_RNA from 1 species